AACACCACCUGCCAACAUUCAGCCUCCUCUGCCCAUCAGCCUUGCUGACACAGGGAGUGGAGAUUUGUGUAGAGAAAUGACUCAUUCAAAUAUGACUUAAUCUAAACCGUAAGUGUAUGAUUUAUUAAUGUGCCACCAGGCCUUACACCAAGAGAGCCAUUCCAGAGAAAAGUCCUUUUUCUCCUGAGAACAGUGCCAGCAGCUGGCUUCGUGACAUUCUGGAAGCCCCGUGCAAUGCUGUCAGGAGCAUAGGGAUUUUACUUUAUCUCCCUUGCUUAUGCUCCACAUAACUGAAAUAUCUCACUGGAAGCUGCAGCAGUGCUGGCCCCUUGCACAGCCAUAUGUGACCACUGCAGAACAAUCAGUUGGAGAGACAGUUUGGACUACAUGGAGGGUGGAGAUAAGGACAAAGUGAAGAAUACACAGGAACCAGUGCCUCCUCCUGGAACUAUGCAACUCCAAGCUGCUUCCAUCAGCUGCUAGGUCCAGUAGGGAGGGACCUACUGAGAGAAGGUGCCUGCUUCCCUUUCCGCUGUGAUUGUAAGUUUCCUGAGGCCUCCUCAGCCAUGUGGAACUGUGAGUCAAUGAAACCUGUUUCCUUUAUAAAUUACUCAGUCUCUGGUAUUCCUUUAUAGCAGUGUGAAAAUGGACUAAUAUACUUGCCCUUCAUCCCAACGAUGGAUUUAAGACUAGAGACAUUUCAAAUAGUAGGUUUUUUGCCAAAUGCCUUUCGCUGUAGAAAUUCUAUACAUGGCCUUUGUCUGUUACACUGGAAGUCCUGCCACUUCUUAGAUGGUGGAGAUUAAAACAGCGAUUUCUUGUGGUGGUGGCGGGGCUGGGGUUGGGAACAUUGAGGAUAAGGUGGGAGCUGCCCAUCUCAGACACUACUGAGAUAGUGGGAUGGGCCACAUAAAUGUCUAUGGAAGAGAUGCCUUUGCCAUACAAUUCCUUCAACAAAUACUCAUUGAUCACACACCAUAUCUGGGGGUGUAGCUGAGAACAAAACAAAGCUCCUGUUUUGAGGAGCUUUAGGCUGUAGAGAAAACAGAAAAUAAACAAGCAAGCAAAUGGAUGUUUUUAAGUGGCAAAAGUGCUAUAAAGGAAACAAGUAGUGGGAUGAGAUGAGGGGAGGAGAACUUCAGGUAAGGUGGCAUCAGAGCAGGAAGCUGAACUGAGGGUGAGUGAGCUGAGCUCAACAGAAAGGACUGUUGGACUGAGCCAGCCACAUGGAGAUCUGGAGAAGGGAAGAGGGCACUACCAUUUUGUUUUUGUUUUUUAUUGGAUUUAAGACGUCACUAUUGUACCUCUAAAAGAAAAAAAAAAACUGUAAUUAUAAUUGUAAAUUACAAAAUUGAUUGUAAAACACAUUUUGAUAACAAUGAAUUAAAAUAUGUUAAAUUACAUGCCUUAGCAUCAAUAUAUUAGUUCAAAAGCCCAGAAGUGUUAAACAAGCUUAGUGCUUAUCUAAGCAACUGAAAAGAAUCUGAUAUGUUUAUAGUUGGUGAAUGACAGAGAAAAAGAUAUGAGGUUUCAGGGGGGCAAAAGGAUAAAUCUUGAGGUCUUAGUUUAAUUAAAAACGGGUGAUGAUACCAUUUACUGAGAUAGGAGAGAUUUCAGGUUGCCAAGAUGUCAAUUUCAGACAUAUUUUAUAUAUGUUAAGUGACAAUUAAGAGAAGGAGGGUUAAAAGGAGACUUAAGAUUCAGUGAAAACUCAAGGUUUAUGAAGACUUUUGCUCCAUAUCCAUCAGGAAACCAGAAAUCCCUGAAAUUAAUAGCUGAAUAAAUAGAAUAAGGUCAACAUUAUUUUUAACACAUAUUUUUAUGUCAUAUGCAUACUAUGUCACCAUAAUCAGUAAACUGUUAAAGUGCCAGAAAAUGCUUCUACAUCAUUUUCAUUCUGACAGGAAGUAGAUAGAAAUGGCAUGUAUCUACGAAGCCAAGUUCUUUCAAAAUUUACAGCUUAAUUUCUCCAAUUGUUUAGAGUGAUAAAUUUUUCACUGAGGCCAUUGACCAGCACAAUAAUUGUGUCUACACAGCAUGUUUAUAUCAAAUACCAUUGCAUCUGUUAUGUCCUGUUCAUGCUGUGACCUUCCCAGAAGGCAGUUAGGGAUUGAAACUAGUACGCACAAUAGUGUAGAUCAGAAAACUGAUGUCAGGCUCUAGUGACAUGUGUAGGUACUGGCAGAACUGGAAUUAGAACCAGAUUUCUACAGUUGCACCCCUGGUUCUUUGCUCCAAAUGCUAAAGCCCUUGGUUAUUUGAUUUUCCUGUUGUCUUUAUCCUAUCCCCAGGCUCUAUUUGGGUUUCUGUAGUGAAAUUAAGGAUAACCUCAUCUGCAUGCUGUACUUUCUUAAAUAGAUUUUUCUAAUCUCCCAUACUCCCACAACCAUAAAUGACAAAAUACAAGCAUGCUUAGGAUCAUUGUGCCCCACAAUAAAAAAAGCUGUUGCUAUGUUUUGGAAACAGAUCAAUCUUGGUAUUUAAGUGUUGUUUGAACAAAGAUUAACUGAGCCUGUUCUCCUCCCCCAGGUACUCAGACCCAGAACAUACUGUUUUCACUCCAAGAGUCUGAAUGUCUCUUUUCUGAGAAAGAUGAAGAAAAACAUUGCCAGAAAACUCAUUUCUCAGUGACACCAUUGUAAUUACUCAUUUGAUUAUCCCGCAAUACACAUAUAAGAGUCUCAGGAAAACAGUACCAUCAGCAUUAUAUGAGCUAAUUAAAAAUGUGGUGUCCUGGACUCACGAAGCCAGAAUUGCUGAGGAGAUAGCCCGAGAAUCUGAAUUUUUAGCAGACAUUUUUUUAGGUACCUUACCCGCAGGAUCAUUUCUGUGAAUAUCCAUGAGGUGAAAAAGUCUGGGAAACACUGUCCUAGGGUGUGGGGAAGAGCGAGAAAAAGAUUUCCGCUCUGGAAGGUAAACAAAUACUCUCUGGAGAGAGAAGAGGAAUGUCCCUAGCAGAUGUCUCCAGAGAAGACAAGACUUUAAAUUCCGCCAGGGAAAUAUACAAUGUCUAACUUCUAAGGCACAUUUGCCAUUCAAUCAUGCUUUAACCCACGUUGCCAGAAAUUUUUGCUCACUAGGUUUUGACUGUACAGGAAUGUGAAAAUAUUCAUGAAGAGUUGUUUUCCAAUGCUAAAGAAUUGAUGUGUUUUAACAGUUGAAUUAAUUGUAUUGAUUAUGAUCACACCUACUUUUUAUAUAUCUUCAUUUCUAACGUUUCUGUACAAUCCUGCCUUUCCACCUGAUAUAGUUAGGCCUUGUGUCAUCAACCAAAUCUCAUCUUGAAUUGUAAUCGCCAUAAUCCCCACGUAUUUAGGGAGAGACCUGGAGGGAGGUGUUUGGAUCAUGGGGGCGGUUUCCCGCAUGCUGUUCUCAUGACCAUGAGAGUAAGUUCUCAAGAGAUCUGAUGGUUUUAUAAGCGUCUGUCAUUUCCACUGCUUGCACUUCUGUGUCCUGCCACCUUGUGAAGAAGGACGUGGUUGCUUCCCCUUCCACCAUGAUUGUGUUUCCUGAGGCCUCCCCAGCCUUGCAGAGCUGUGAGUCAAUUAAACCUCUUUCCUUUAUAAAUUACUCAGUCUCUGUAUUCCUCUGCAGCAGUGUGAGAACAGACUAAUACAUCACCACUUUAUUUACUUUACUCUCUCCCCAUACCGAGGUUUUCUACAUUUUCUUUCUAGGUCUCUACAGUUUCUGCAAAGAUCCUUUAUGGAACUCUUAGGGAAGCUGGGAUGUAUAAUAAAUAAAGGGCUCUUUUCUUUGAGUCCCACACCCAUUUUCUGUGUAUAAAAAUCUUCAACUCCACUUUUGUCUGUUCUAUUUAAAUGUGUGCACAUUUCCUUCUAAUGUUGUAUAUGAAAAAGAGACACCUCUUAGCAGUCUUUCAUAGAGCAAAAUUUUUUACUUUGAUAAAAUCUAAUUUAUCAAUAUUUUUAAAUUUUAUGGAUCAAUCAUGCUUUUGAGGUUGAAUUUAAGAAUGCUUUGCCUAGCCCUAGAUCCCAAGUAUCUUUUAAAAAUUAUUUUUCUAAAUGCAUUAUUUAUGUUUUACACUUAAGUCUAUAAUCCAUUUUGAGUCCAUGUGUAAGAUUUAGGUUAAGGUCAAGAUUUAUCUGUUUUUGUUGUUUUCUCUAUAAAUGUCAAUUGCUCCAGCACUAUUUGUUUAAAAGCCAAUCUUUCCUCCGCUGAGUUCUUCCUAUAAGUUUGUCAAAAGUCAAUUUGGCAUCUUUGUAUAAGUUUAUUUCUGGAUUCUCUAUUCUGUUUUAUUGAUCACUGCAUCUAUCCCUCUUGAUUAGCUAGAUAAUAAAUCCUACAAUAAGGUAGAAUUCUUCCCACUUUAUUCAUAUUCAAAAUAUUUUAAAGCUAUUCUAGUUUCUUUUUAUUUCCAUAUAUAUUUUAGGAUAAUCUUAUCUAUAUUUACAACAUAUGUUGCUAGGAUUUUGAUAGAAUUUGUUUUAAAUUUGUGUAUCAAUGUAGGGAAGACCUGACAUCUUUACUAUUACGUUGAUCUUCCAAUCAAUGAAUAUGGUAUAUCUCUCAGUUUAUAGCUAUUGUCUUUAAUUUAUUUCAUCAUGGUUUUUAGUUUUCAGCAGAGAAGCUUUAUACAUGUUUUGUUAUACAUGUAUAACAAAAGAAGCCUUAUACACUGACAUUUUAUAUUUUGAACAAUUGUAAAUGGUAUUGUUUAAAAAUUUUGUUGUCUAUGAUAGAAAUAAAAUUGAUUUUUGUAGGUUUAUCUUGUAACCUAUGACUUGCUGAGCUCGCUCAUUAGUUUUUUUAUUGUGAUAAAAUAUACAUGAGAUAAAUUUCAUCAUUAUAAUCAUUAAGUUUAGACAUCAAUUGCAUUAAGUACAUAAAUGCCUUAUGCAACCAUCAUCUCUAUCCAUCUCCAGACCCUUUGCAUCACCCUAAAAUGAAACUCUGUGCCCAUUAAACAAUAACUCCCCAUUCUGCCCUCACCCCAGCCCUUGGUAAUUACCAUCCUACCUUUUAUCUCUAUAAAUUUAACCAUCCCAGGUAACUCAUAUAAGUGGAAUCAUGCAGUGUUUGUCCUUUUGUAACUGGUUUAUUUCACUUAGCAUGAUGUCUUCAAGGUUUGCCUAUGUCAUAGCAUGUGUCAGAAUUUCAUCCCUUUUUAAACUUAAAUAAUAUUCCACUGUAGGCAUAUGCCACAUUUUGUUUAUUUGUUCAUCUGUUGAUGGGCAUUUGGGUUGUUUCCACCUUUUGGCUACUGUGAAUAAUGCUGCUGUGAUCAUGGGUAUGCAACUGUCUCCUGGAGUCCCUGCUAUCAAUUCUUGUGGGUAUAUACCCAGAAGUGGAAUUGUUGCAACAUAUAGUAAUUCUAUGUUUAAUUUUUUGAGGACCUGCCAUAAUGUUUUCCACAGUAGCUACAUUGUCUUAUAUUCCCAUUAAGAGUUCCAAUUUCCUCACAUCUUCACCAAUACUUAUUGUUUUCUGUUUUUUUAAAUAAUAGCCAUCAUAAUAAAAGUAACAUGGUAUCUCAUUGUGGUUUUAACUGCAUUUCCCUUUUUACUGGAUUGUUUGUAAUAUUGCUGUAAUUGAGUUGUAGGAGUUUUUAAAUAUGUUCUGAAUAAUUAAUUUCUUAUCAGAUAUGUCAUUUGCAAAUAUUUUCUGCCAUUCUCUGGGUUGUCAUUUCACUCUCUUGAUAGUGUCCUUUGAUGCACAGAAGUUUUGAAAUUUGAUAAAGUUUAAUUUGCGUAUGUAUUUAUUUUGUUGCUUAUGCUUUUGGUGUCAUAUCCAAGAAAUUAUUGCCAAAUUCAGUGUCAUGAAGAUUUUCCCCUGUGUUUUCCUCUAAGAGUAUUAUAGUUUUAACUCUUGCACUUAGAUUGAUCCGCUUUGAGUUAAUUUUAGUAUAUGGGGUAAGACAAGGGCUCAAAUUUGUUCUUUUGUUUGAAGAUUCUAGGUCAUUUGUGAUCUUUAGGAUUUUCUAUGUAGACAUUAAUGUCAUCUUCAAAUAUGAACAGUUUAUUUCUUCCUUUUGUAUAUGUAUGAAUUUACUUUCCUUUUCUUGCCUUAUUGCACUGGCUAGAGUUUUCAGUACUAUGAUGAAUAAAAUCAGUGAGAGCAGACACCCUUGCUUUGUUUCUAAUCUUAGGAGGAAAGCUUUCAGUCUUUCAUCAUUAGGUAUACUGUUAGUUGUAGGCUUAUUAUAGAUGCUCUUUAUCAGGUUGAGGCAGUUUCCUCCUUGGUUAAGACUUUCUAUUUUUCAUUUUCAGUUAUGACCAGGCAUGUUCAUAACUGCUCAUCAAAACUUUGAAUUAGUGGCUGCUUUAACAUCCUUCUCAGACAAUUCUAACAUCUGUUUUGUUGGUGGUGGCAUCUAUCAAUUGUCUUUUUCAUUCUGUUUGAGAUCUUCCUUGCGUUUGGUAUGAUUUUUUUAAAUAUUAUGUCAUGAAACUGCAUCUUAUUUAAAUCUUCUGUUUUAGUUGGCUAUGUCUGACAUCACUUCCCCAGGGGAAGGUGUUGUUACUGCUAGUGGAGGGUGAGAAUUAUGGCUCUCCACUGACAUUGUGGUGGGAUUGGUCCCAUUACCACUGGGCAGGGUUGAAAGUCCUGACUUUCUGCUAGGCCUUCUCUGACUUCAUCGCAGCAGGAGGAAAAGAUGCCUCUGGAGUUGAAGUCAGGUUGCACUGACACUGUGUGUGUAUGGAGGUAGGCUGGGGUGAAAGUGGAGACUCAUUACCACAUGGUGAGUAGUUUCCAGCUCUCUAUUUGGCCUUCUCUGAUACCACCCAGACAGGGACAUUGGGGAUACCUCAUUACAGCCUAGUGAGGGUCAAACUCUAGGCUCCCCACUCAGUCUUUGCUAUCAUGGACACUGUAGGACCAUAGUUUUUUCUGUGCUGUUUGCUUGAUGUGUCUUCCUUGGACCCUGAGUUCCAUAGCUGGUCUGCAUUCCUCUCUCCACCUUUAAGACGUCUUCUUAUGUUUAUUUCAUAUUUAACAUCCAGGGUGGUAAUUAGAGGGAAGAAUAGAGGGAAAAGUACAGUUGCACUUUGUUGUUCAAAGAGCAGUUUUGAACUGCACAGACCCAUUUCUCUGAGCACACCCAGGGAUGAUUGUACUUGUAUAAAAUUUUUUUCCUGGAUGCAGAAUUCUCAAUUGACUGUGAAAGUUCAUAACAAAGAAAACAGUGGGGAAGACAAAUCUGGAAAUGAGGAAAAUAAAAAUUAAAUAGUGAGACCACCCAUGGAGCUUGUGGCAAAGCCUGAAUUGAAUCCGCUGUAUCUUAAGAUUGUGCCUCAUUCUAAAUUUAAGUCACCCUUCUCAUUAUGAAAGUGUCACAACUUCUCAGUAGGUGAGGAGACAGUCUAAAUUUGAGAAAAGAAAGUUACAACAAAGGUUUUGAGCAAGCUGCUAAGUGGAUUUAUUCAUGUUUGAGAAAUCAAAUAUAUGGUUAAUGAGCUCUUUAACUAGAAGCCAACACUAGGGAGGAGUAGACAGAAGUCACGGGGAGGGAGCCCCCGGACAUUUCAAAAGACUUUGCCCUGCAACAUCUCCUCCACAUUUAAGCUUUUAGGUUAUUGUAGCCACAUCACAAGCAUGUUACCUACCCAGAUAUUGUCUGCGCAUCAUUCCCAAAAGCUUCCCUGGGUCUUCAUAAUAUUAAUGAGAUUCUCCCCCAGGUUAGACCCCUUUGGCUUGAGUCAGAAACAGAAUUAAUCCGGGGGACAAUCCAGCAGCACCCAUCUCUGGGUUGCAGAAAUAUCUGAGGUGACCAGGCAGUGUUUGGAGUCCCCUCAGUUAGCUAACAAAGUGAGUUCACAGCUUCCAAGACCCCAGGCUUUCCAGGCUAAUAAAGAGCUGAGGUUAUAGGCUCUCCUUAUCAAACGCUCUUUGGCAGCUGCCAUAACCAUUCCAAGUCUAGUCCUAGAAUAGAAAUGACGCGGUUUCAGGAGCUGACAGAUGGAACUUUAAGCCUUCCUUCCUGCCACAUCUGAAGUUCUUUUUUAAAAAAAUAGAAAACCAUGACAAUAAACACUCCUUGAAUGCCCUGUGGAAAAGUGUACUCCUCAGAAUUCACUAAAGUGGGGUGAAGCAGUGGGUUGUGGUGCUGAGAAAACAUCUCUUCCCCUCGGCAGUAUAUUGGAAUCUCAUAGAAACUUCUGUGGCUGGGAAGCAAACAUGCUCUCUGCCCCAUUGCUCUUAUUCAUCUUUAGACCUGAUAAUACAGUUUGAACUUCAAGUUGCACUUUAAAUGGCAUGCAUUUUUA
rnacentral:lncRNA from 10 species